UACAGAGGUCCCAAGCGUUGUUCGGAAUCACUGGGCGUAAAGGGUGCGUAGGCGGUCGGGUAAGUCUGAUGUGAAAUCUCACAGCUUAACUGUGAAACUGCAUUGGAUACUAUCCGGCUAGAGGAAUGGAGGGGAGACUGGAAUACUUGGUGUAGCAGUGAAAUGCGUAGAUAUCAAGUGGAACACCAGUGGCGAAGGCGAGUCUCUGGACAUUUCCUGACGCUGAGGCACGAAAGCCAGGGGAGCAAACGGG
rnacentral:rRNA from 1 species